rnacentral:rRNA from 1 species
UACGUAGGGUGCAAGCGUUGUCCGGAAUUAUUGGGCGUAAAGAGCUCGUAGGCGGUUUGUCGCGUCGGCUGUGAAAAACCCGGGGCUCAACCCCGGGGCCUGCAGUCGAUACGGGGCAGGCUAGAGUUCGGCAGGGGGAGACUGGAAUUCCUGGUGUAGCGGUGAAAAUGCGCAGAUAUCAGGAGGAACACCGGUGGCGAAGGCGGGUCUCUGGGGCCAUACUGACGUGAGGAGCGAAAAGCGUGGGGGGAGCGAAACAGG